GGUAUUCUUAUCCUCUGCUCUGAUAAACCGGUCAUGGAGUUUCUGGAAGGUUAUGUGAGAAGAGUAUUCACGGCAAAUCUCUGGAACGAGCUAUCGUUCGUGUGUUUCAUCUGGAUUCUUCUCCUUCGCAAAGACAAUCUGGAACCGUUACGGAUGCAUUCAGUCGGUGUCAUUAACGACCUUAACUCCUUCUCCCCUCUCUUCCAGGCGGUGAAUCUCCAGUAUAAAAAAGGGUCAUCCUCCAUCCCAUGAACAUCAUCUUUUCAUUCCUCACAGAAAAUGAUUGAGCUACUGAAAUCUCAUGGUGGUUUAUCUUAUGGUCAAAACCGAAGUCACUUUGAACCAAAGCCUGUGCCACCACCAAUUCCAAAGAAAUGUGACUGGGAAAUUGAACCUGCAGAGCUGGAUUUCCCUAAUGGCGCCAUGAUCCGAAAGAUUUGAUUCCUUUGGUGAGAUUGUGAAAGCUUAUUGGGAGAUGAGCACCAAUAGCAGUGAAACGUAUUCUUUCAUCUCUCUCGGAAGAUUGACUGAUUAUGAUAGCAAUGGUGGCCGUGGUGAUGAUACGCCAGGAGUAACGACACUUCCAAACCAAGAUCAUUGUCGGUUUGAUGGAAAUGAGAAGGAACCUUUUACUGAAACAACCACUGGUGGUCCAUCCAACAAAAAAUCUCUGCUUCUAACGUCGUCCACAGCAGCUAAGAAGCCACACAUUGCAUAGUUGGAAGAGUAUGCUGUUUAAAGCCACAGCAGUGUCUUACUAGAAUAAUGCGUAAGCAUAAUCGUUGUCACUUUCACAACUACAUCUGGUGGGUAUUAUUUUCUUUAAACUAUCAGACAAUCAUAUUUGGCUUUUCUUAUCAUAUUUUGCAAACAUAUCAGUGAACAUUCA